rnacentral:rRNA from 1 species
AUGCUCCAUCUCCGGCAGCGCAUCGCUUCCCAUAUCAUCUCCUCCUCCGCCACCUCUGCCGUCUCCUCCUCCGCCACCUCUGGCAUCUCCUCACUCCGCCGCCUCCUCUGCGCAGGCGCAGCCCCCGUUUCCCCGAACCCCAGUGGAUUCGCCGUCGAGGAGUACCUGGUCGACACCUGCGGCCUCACCCGAUCCCAAGCCAUCAAGGCCGCCUCGAAGCUCUCCCACCUCAAAUCCCCCGCCAAACCCAACGCCGUCCUCGCCUUCCUCUCCGGCCUCGGCCUCUCCCGCGCCAAUGUCGCCGCCGUCGUCGCCAAAGAUCCGCUUUUCCUCUGCGCCGGCGUGGAGAGAACCUUGGUCCCCGUCGUUGACGGCCUCACUGGCCUCGGCCUCUCGCAUUCCGAGAUUAGCGGCCUCGUCUCGCUUGCUCACCGCCGCUUCCGCUGCAGAGCCAUCGUCCCUAAGCUGCGCUACUACCUGCCCCUCUUCGGCUCAUUCGAGAACUUACGCCGGCUGCUCAAGGAUCAAUCCCACCUUCUCUCGAGCGACCUUGACAAGGUGCUGAAGCCCAAUAUUGUGUCCCUGCAGGAGUGCGGGUUAGGUGGUUGUGAUAUUGCCAAGCUGUGUAUCAGUGCGCCGAGGAUACUGGCAACUAACCCGGAGCGCAUACGGGCAAUGGCGGCAUGUGCUGAAAGAUUAGGCGUGCGCCGUGGCUCCGGUAUGUUCAGGGAAGCGCUGCAGGCUGUCUCAUUCCUUGGUGAGGAGAAGAUUGCCGCCAAAGUGGAUUAUUUGAAGAAGACGUUCAAGUGGUCCGAUACUGAGGUGGCCAUUGCUCUGUCUAAGGCUCCAAUGUUGCUGAAGAGAUCUAAAGACCUGCUUAGGCGCAGGUCUGAGUUCUUGCUAUCUGAACUGGGGUUGGAACCGGUGUAUAUUGCUCAUCGGCCCGUCAUAAUCUAUUAUAGCCUGGAGGGCCGGCUCAUGCCUCAGUAUUACGUUGUAAAGUUUCUCCAGGAAAAUAGAUUGGUGGAUCGCAACCUGAGCUACUAUACUGUGGUUAAGAGGGCCGAGAAGGAUUUCGUGGAGAAGUAUAUAUGCCCUCACAAGGAAGCUGCACCACACCUCGCUGAAGACUAUGCAACUGCUUGCAAAGGGGAAGUGCCAACUAAUUUCAGAUUUACUUGA